GUGGGGCUGGUUCAGUGGUAGAGUGAUCACCUAGCAUGUGUGAGGCACUGGGUUCAAUCCUCAGCACCACA
rnacentral:tRNA from 1 species